rnacentral:rRNA from 1 species
ACGUAGGGGGCAAGCGUUAUACGGAAUUAUUGGGCGUAAAGAGUGCGUAGGUGGUUUUUCAAGAGAGAGGUGAAAGGAAAUAGCUUAACUACUGUAAGGCUUGCGAACUGGAAGACUUGAGUGCAGGAAAGGAAAGUGGAAUUCCUAGUGUUGCAAUAUGAUGCCUAGAUAUUAGGAGGAACGCCAAUAGCGAGGGCGACUUUUUAAACUGUAACUGACGCUGGUGCACGAAAUCGUAGGCAACAUACAG